GACGAACCGUGCGAACGUUAUUCGGAAUCACUGGGCUUAAAGGGCGCGUAGGCGGGCCGACGAGCCAGGGGUGAAAUCCUCCAGCCCAACUGGAGAACAGCCCCUGGGACCGGCGGCCUCGAGGGUGCAGGGGCAUGCGGAACUCAGGGUGGAGCGGUGAAAUGCGUAGAGAUCCUGAAGGAACACCGGUGGCGAAAGCGGCGUGCUGGACACCUACUGGACGCUGAGGCGCGAAAGCCAGGGGAGCGAACGGG
rnacentral:rRNA from 1 species